rnacentral:rRNA from 1 species
AGUGAACGCUGGCGGCAUGCCUAACACAUGCAAGUCGAACGGCAGCACACUAAGAGUUUUCGCUUACGGGUGGCGAGUGCCGGAGGAGUGACGCAUACAUUGGAAUCUACUUCUUCGUGGGGGAGCUCGUAGGGAAACAUAUGCUAAUAUCGCAUAUGUCUUACGGGUGAAUGCACGGGAGCUUCGGUACUUGCGUGAUUGAAUGAGCCGAUGUCGGAUUAGCUAGUUGGCGGGGUAAUGGCCCACCAAGGCGACGCUCCGUAGCUGGUCUGAGAGGAUGAUCAGCCACACUGGAACUGAGACACGGUCGAGACUCCUACGGGAGGCAGCAGUGGGGAAUAUUGGGCAAUGGGCGAAAGCCUGAUCCAGCCAUACCGCGUGAGUGCUGAAGGCCUUCGGGUUGUAAAGCCCUGUUGUUGGGAAAGAAAAACAGCAGGUUUAUCCCCCGCUGUUCUGACGGUACCCAAAGAAUAAGCCCCGGCUAACUUCGUG